rnacentral:lncRNA from 1 species
AUGCAGAUCUUUUCGCCCUUAGGUUCUGCUGGAGAUGUUAUCCUUCCUGAUCUGCUGAGAUCCAACCCUUCCAACAUUCCUCUCAGUUCUCCUCUCCUUCAUCCGUCAUCCACCUCAGCAAAGAAGGAAACAUCAGACCUGACAAGUUCCUUUGCCCGUUCUCGCCGCUCCUUGGAUCUGGCCUGUGAGGAUCCUCAAUCUAAAGACAGCAAGAGGGAGAAGCGUACCAAACCACCAAACGCCAGCUCUUCCAGAGUCCCGCAGCAACGGCGCAUCAAGAGUCGGUCCGCAGAGAAUCUCCUUGAUCUCGGAGAUACAGAGAAAUCCAAAAGCCCAUCCAAAGCCAAAGACAAAGCUCACAGCCACAAAGAAAAUCUGCAACAAAGCACUCGAGACUCCCACAAGAGCAGAAAGUCCUUCCAACAUAGUCGCUCAGUGAGUCCCCAGAAGUCAAAGCGUGAAGGACCUGAAGUGGUAAUUGGUGAAGCACAGGGACGGAAAGAGGUACGCCACGUGAAGGGGACACCGAGCGUGGACCAGAGGAAAAGUGACGCUGAAAAGAGGAAAAAACUUGAAUCUAGAGGAAGGAAGCGAAAUGAGACACAAGAAGGGGAGGAGAGGUGGAGGGCUGAGAGAAAAGUGAGAAGCAAUGGAGAGGAUGAAGAAGCUGAGCCAAAAGGGGAAAAUGAGCUCAAAAGCACCCAAAAGAAGAAAAAACAGAGAGAUAGAAACAUCCGAAAUGAAAACACCCACAUAGAGGAGACAAGACAGGGAGACAGGAAGAGCAAACAAACAAAAGAUAAGGGGGAUCAAAAGGAAGAAAACAGGAAGGAAAUGAUUACAGAUAAGAAUGAACCCAAAAGAAAAGGAAAUGAGAGUAAAGACAGGAACGACAACAUUGUCAUCACAGAUGCGGCUCCAGUCACCACCAGGGCGAGUCUUGUCUUUGACCAGCCUGGACCCUUGAGUGACGGCCUCUGGAAGAUCCCUAGUUUUGCACGUAUCCUCACGCAUGAGGAAGUGAUGCGAGAUGUUUGUGAAUAG